UACGGAGGGGGCGAGCGUUAUUCGGAAUUAUUGGGCGUAAAGGGCGCGUAGGCGGCUCUUUAAGUCAAAGGUGAAAUCCCUCGGCUCAACUGAGGAACUGCCUUUGAAACUGAGGAGCUUGAGUCCGGGAGGGGGUAGCGGAAUUCCCAGUGUAGCGGUGAAAUGCGUAGAGAUCUGGAGGAACACCGAUGGCGAAGGCAGCCUUCUGGGCCAACACUGACGCGUCCAUGCACGAAAGCGUGGGGAGCAAACAGG
rnacentral:rRNA from 1 species